CGGCGUAAAGAGUGGUUAUGGAGAACUAAAUACUAAAGCCGAAGACCCCUUAGGCCGUCAUACGCACCUAGGGGUUCGAAUUAUAUACACGAAAGUAGCUUUACCCUUUCCCACCAGAACCCACGACAGCCGGGACACAAACUGGGAUUAGAUACCCCACUAUGCCCCGCCGUAAACUUAGAUAUUCCAGUACAAUAAAUAUCCGCCAGGGGACUACGAGCGCCAGCUUAAAACCCAAAGGACUUGGCGGUGCUUCAGACCCCCCUAGAGGAGCCUGUUCUAGAACCGAUAACCCCCGUUCAACCUCACUACUCCUUGCUUUUCCCGCCUAUAUACCACCGUCGCCAGCUUACCCUGUGAAGGUACUACAGUAAGCAGAAUGAGUAAUACUCAAAACGUCAGGUCGAGGUGUAGCGUACGAAGUAGGAAGAAAUGGGCUACAUUAUCUGAUCCAGAUUAUUCACGGAAGGUUGCCUGAAAGGACAACCCGAAGGUGGAUUUAGCAGUAAAGGGGGAAUAGAGUGCCCCCUUGAAGCCGGCUCUGAAGCGCGCACACACCGCCCGUCACUCUCCCCAACAACC
rnacentral:rRNA from 1 species